rnacentral:rRNA from 1 species
UACGGAGGGUGCGAGCGUUGUCCGGAAUCAUUGGGCGUAAAGGGCGCGUAGGUGGCCCGGUCAGUUCGUGGUGAAAGCGCGGGGCGUCAACCCUGCGUCGGCCAUGAAUACUGCCGCGGCUGGAGCACUGUAGAGGCAGGCGGAAUUCCGGGUGUAGCGGUGGAAUGCGUAGAGAUCCGGAAAGAACACCGGUGGCGAAGG